rnacentral:rRNA from 1 species
AACGAACGCUGGCGGCAUGCCUAACACAUGCAAGUCGAACGAUGCCUUCGGGCAUAGUGGCGCACGGGUGCGUAACGCGUGGGAAUCUGCCUUUCGGUUCGGAAUAACUCAGGGAAACUUGAGCUAAUACCGGAUAACGUCGCAAGACCAAAGAUUUAUCACCGAAAGAUGAGCCCGCGUAGGAUUAGCUAGUUGGUGAGGUAAAGGCUCACCAAGGCGACGAUCCUUAGCUGGUCUGAGAGGAUGAUCAGCCACACUGGGACUGAGACACGGCCCAGACUCCUACGGGAGGCAGCAGUGGGGAAUAUUGGACAAUGGGCGAAAGCCUGAUCCAGCAAUGCCGCGUGAGUGAUGAAGGCCUUAGGGUUGUAAAGCUCUUUUACCCGGGAAGUUAAUGACGGUACCGGGAGAAUAAGCCCCGGCUAACUCCGUG